UGGCGACGAGGCAAAACCGCGUUCUUAUCGAUAUUGCCCUGAUUUACUUGCGUAAUGGCUUCGCCACAAUCUCCAGAUGUACUGUCCGAAUUUUAUCGCUUACAGAAUCAGCAGACGCAGGCCUUACUGGAUACCCUUGGAUAGCUCGUCCAGGGUAAACGUGCGAUGCAAAACGAUGUGGCAGCAGCCACUUCACCGCUGACGCAGCCACAACACGUUGUUGCACCAACUUUUCGACCUUUUGAUGCUGCACUGGAAAACUGGACGGAGUGGUCACGCCAAUUUGGAUUCCAUCUCGCCGCCUACAGAAUUCAAGGUUACCAGAAGAAUUUGAGAAAGACAGACAGUGCAAGAAGCAGCUGUUGGAGAAUAUCCGAAGUAGGCAUGCAGAAGAGACAAAACAAUUAGUAAACUCAUUUCUAAGUGGCCUUCAGGUCAUUAGUGAGCAGAACACUCAACCCCACUUCAUGCCCUAACGUCAAACACCACAGUUCUUUCCACAGAUUGGUUUUUCCACUUGACUACCCAUUCUCCAACACGAUCCCCUUCCCCAUCCACCUCGAGAGUCCAGUUCAUCUCCAGUGCGCCAUCCACUUCCAGUUAGUCAGUAAGCUUUUUGUAUACUGUAAACUGAAGUACAGCAAAUAAAAGUUAUUGAAAUUGUG